AAUGAGCAGCCACUGCUCCUGUGCUUAGAGCUUCCUGCCUCCAGCACUUGAAGCAGCAGCAUGUGCUCAUUAUCUGAGUUUCCCAGGGUGCUCCACCCCUGGCACAAGGACACCCGGGGAAGGCAGGACCUAUUUAGCAGUGUAACCACCUAAAUGGUCCAGCAGUUCUUGCUCUGGAGAGCCCUCUCAGACGGGCUGGUUGUUACCUGCUCGUUCCCACCACCGACACUUCAGCUCAGACCCCUCUAGAGCAAGUGUGCUUUACACCCUGUGGGUGCACAAGAUUAAUUGUCUGGACAUUAAAAACCUGCAAGGAAACAAGCUGGAGGAUACAAGGACAAAGGAAUGGACGACCCACAUGGGCCAACUAACAGAAGAGGCCUCAGCAAACGAAAAGUAGGAGAUCCAAUCCUGCUGCUGCCAUGAGGUAACAGGCAACAUGACUUCCAACACUGCUGAUGCAAUAGAGAAGGAUGCAGGAGGAAAUCAAUUUCUGACAUGCCACUCACCCACAGAAGACUUGAAGCAUCAAACAGGGUGCCAGUAGCCAUUUCAAAUGUGUGGCCUUUGUGAUGGUCAAGCUCCUGAGCCUCCACUGAACCACACUGUUAAUGCAUUCCCAGUGCUGGAGCUGCCAGGAAGAGGUGGAUGGGUAAUGCCACACACACCCAGCUGGUGCUUGCUGCCCUUGUUAUCAGCUGGCUCAGGUUUCAGUGUUAACUCUGUGCCUGAAAAAAGCCAUAUGCAAUACAGCAGGGCUGACAUCUGGCUGGGAGGUCUUUGAAACAAAUGGGCUCAUCUCAUCCUUCAAUAGGCCUGUUGUACCAGCAGGUCUGGCUGCAGAGUUCAACAAGAUAGAUUCCCAGACCUGUCAGAGCCCUGAAUUCAGUGGCUUUAAUUUCAGGGUUCAAGAUGACUCUGGGAUCCUCAGCCUGCUGAGGCAAUGUAAUCCCCAUCCAAAAUACUCCCCAGGAUUUCAAAGUACACCUGCUGCUGUGCAGCAACUGGUGGUGCUGACCUACAGAUAACUCUUCUUGUAGUGAUGAGGUUAAAGUCUGUAAAACUCAGUGUACAGCAGAGAUCUGCUCUGUUCCUUCUCCCAAACACUGGCUGGCAGAAAUGCCUCUGCUCUCACCUGCGACAGUUCAUCAACUCACAGUGCACCUGGAAUUCCACCAAAAUAUAUAGCCACACACACAGAUAUGUGUAUAGAUAUUUCCACAGAAAUACAGCCACAUCAGAACAUUUAUCCACAUCAUCCCUGCCCAGGCAGAAGAUCUGCAGGAAAAAUAUUGACAACAUGUGUUGCUGCUCGGUAGAAAUGAGGUAGAACCGCCCCCAUUUUCAGGCUCUAAAUGCAAAAUCUCCCCAUUUGCAGAGAUUAAAUAGGCACAAUUGAUCUUUCAUGCAGGAGUCCUCCCCAUCAGCUUUCUCCCAGGUCACCACCACAAGUCAAGAGUAAAUGAGACAUGGUAGUUUCCUCCACAAUGAGUGAAAAAACAGGGAAUAGGCAUGACAGAAAGAAUUUGUUAAAUACUACUUUAAAGAGCCUGUUCUACUCCUCACUGACCCAUGUGUAACUCUCUUACAUCUAGUUGGGACACAUGCAUGAAAAUGAGGAAAGAAUUUGGCAUGUGGGCUUUGAAAAAACAUCUGAGAACGCUCCAGCCUACUAGCACUACUUUUUAAAAUCCAUUAUGUUUUCUCUGGGGCAGUAAAUUAUGUUAUCUUAAUUUAACAGAUAAAAGGAUGGAAGCACUCAGACCCCGCAAGGUAACCUCUCUUUCAGGGGUGGAGCUGUUCAAAAAAGUUUUCAUUAUCAAACUCUUUUGUUUCAGCCCAAGCCUGAUGUCCUGGACACUUUUCUCCUACUGUUCCUUAGCUAUUUUUACUUCUUUUUACCUCUCCAGCAAACAGAACUGUAGAACUGUGAGUGUACCAGCCACAGCAUCUCCAUUUCAAAUGGUUUGGCUCUCCUUUCCACAACAUUAUUUCCUGACUCUUUUUCCAGCCUGCAGCUUGCUGAGCAGAGGAUUAGGAUAAACUGAAUCAGGCAGAAAAAGGUUUUUUUUUCUGGAUGGCCUGCAAAGACUACCUUUUCUCUCUGAGCUCAGGUACCCAGCAGCUCCCUGUUCCUGCCUUGCACUGCAUACACAGAAACCUCCCUAAAUUAUGUGCAUGUGCUCAAAGGGAUUGUUUUGAAAUCAAACCUUCUGAAGUGUGUCUUGAGCCCAGCUCAACUUUGGACACACUGUUGAAAUUUGGAUUUAAUUAAUUCCACUUGAGUUUUGAAAUGGUGCGAUACAUUUUUCAGAGGUUUUUUUCCCCCCAUUUCCUGGAUCAGAGCCUCAACCACAUUCAUGGAAACACUGAAGGGAAAAAAAAAAAAUCCCUAGCAAUAAUUCACCAAGUGGGAACUGAAAACAUUUGCUGAAGAAGAAGGAACCUCUUGGUCUUUGGAUGCUGGGAAUAGUUCAAUCUCUCCUCCCAAUUCCCUAAGGCUCAAGUGGCCCUUUUUCCGGCAGAGCUGUGGUUAUUUGAGCAAGUUGCCCUGGGGACAAGUGCAUGUUACUUGUAGGAUUUGGGCUGGAAAGAUCAAGCACAUGGAUUUGUAGGCAAGAAGAGCUUUGUGUUUUAAUAACUGCCAGCAGCCCCACAGAAGAGACCAAGCUUGCAGGAUGAAAAGCCCUCCUUGGCAGAAUUUAACUCAAAGCACGCAGGGAACAAGAGACAACUUUGUCAGCAUCAUCUCUUUUAACACUGCCUCAUCUUGCAUGCAACAAAUGUACCAUUCCUGGAUCCACAGAAUCUCCACUUUAUGUUUCUCUCCUCCACUGCUGUUAUUUUUUUUGGUUUUUGGAGAUGUUUCAUGGUGUA